UUCGCUGUCUCCCUCACAUUUGGAGAUAUUCCUCGAAAACUUAGUUCAGAGCUAAGUCGACUUGAAUCGUUUUAUGCAGUAAUAUUUUUCAUCCGUGAACAAAAAUUCGGGACUGUUUUUGUAAAAUAUGUUGACACCUCCAGAAUUCAAAAUAUAGAAUUCGAGUCUCCUUUCCCAUACGGCGACUCGGCAUUAGUCUCCAGGAAGAAAGAGCCCCGCGUCUCACUGCUCACCUUAUCCCCCAUGACAGCCGUAGAAUUAUCACACUUUCCAGCUCUAUAUUCCGCCCAACUGUCGCACUUGAUUGCGACGAAUGCGCGUGGAGAGACUAUCGACUCCGCCAUGAACUGGGGCGAGCACCCGGGCUGUCGAAAGGUCCCGCCGUUGGGGUAAAAAUCUGCAUGUCCAACGGUUUUAAUGAAUCCCAAGGUGCCUGCGCAAGUGUGGAUAACGUCGACAAAUAUCGCGUCCGACGGAUCCAAUCGGCUCUUUUGAUCUUUAUAAACAGGGGCUUCGAACGCUGGCCGAGCUGGAUCCAUUCCCGUUAUUCUGCCUACGUUGCCGGAUAAACUCGAGCCGGCGAAACCGGCUAUGUGCGCCCCCAGACUGUGGCCCAGUAUGUGAACAUUAGCUAAUGAAAUAUUGGUUUCGGCGUUCAGAAAAUGGAGAAAUUCACCGACGUAUGCGCCUAUCUGCAAGAUUAAUUCGCCUAUUGGAUGAAUUCCAAUUUUUUUUCGCUGCUGGAGAAUCGGGGGUGCGCUUUGCGGGCAUAUGAAUUUGCUAGUGGUUUAUGCGCAUUAUUUAUGAUCACUAUAGUUAAUUAAUGGAUGCACAUAUGUAUUCAUUAAUUCAUUAAGAAAGAGUUAAUAUUCGCCCUCAUUAUGUUUUUAUCUGAGAGAAAAUUUGAAUAUUUUUUUAUUCAAUGUAUGUUUUUUAUUUAAAUAACAGAAAUAUUGACAAUUAA